GUCUUUUUGAAUUAAAUUUAAAGUCUAACCUGCCCAUUGAAUUAGUUUUUAAAGGCUGCAGUAUAUUGACUGUACAAAGGUAGCAUAAUCAUUAGUUUUUUAAUUGAAAACUUGUAUGAAUGGUUGAAUGAGAAAUUAACUUUUUUUUUAAUAAAAAUGAAUUUUACUUUUUAGUUAAAAGGCUAAAAUAAUAUUUAAAAGACGAGAAGACCCUAUAGAGUUUAAUAAUUAUUUUUUUUUAUUUUAAAAGAUUAUUUUAUAUAAUAUAAAUAAAAUUAUUUUAUUGGGGUGAUAAUAAAACUUAAAAAACUUUUAUUCAUAAUUAAACAUUAAUAUAUGAUUAUAUGAUCCAUUAUUAAUGAUUAAAAAAUUAAAUUACCUUAGGGAUAACAGCGUAAUUUUUUUUUAAGUUCUUAUUAAUAAAAAAUUUUGCGACCUCGAUGUUGGAUUAAGAUUAAAUUUUAGGUGCAGCAGUUUAAAUUUUAAGUCUGUUCGACUUUUAAAUUCUU
rnacentral:rRNA from 1 species